UUUGUAUUCAAUGGAUUCUAGCCUCUGUUUGUAUACACUUGAAUUUCCCCGUCAGAACCUGUUUCAGACAGACUGCAAAUGCCAGCAUAUCUCUGUUCAUACUGUUACUCAGUCUUCUCCUUCUCCCGUACUUUCAUGUGUAGAGAAGCCACCUAAACAUGCUCAUGUUUCACUCAUACCAGUUGCCAAUUCAGAUACAAAUUCAUGCUGUCAGCCAGCAGCAUCUAACACCCUCCAAGACAUACAUGUAUCAGCACGGUUGAUGGACAAUUUUCUUGAACUUGCUAGAGAAAAUACAGAGAAGGAUCUGGAAACCUGUGGGGUUCUUGGUGCUUUCCUUGAAAAGGGCACUUACUAUGUUACCACCCUGAUAAUUCCCAAACAAAAGUCAACUUCCAAUUCUUGCGAGGCUAUAAAAGAGGAAGAAUUUUUUGCCAUACAGAAUGAACAUUCACUUUUUCCUGUGGGAUGGAUUCAUACACAUCCUUCUCAAAGUUGUUUCAUGUCAUCAAUAGAUCUACACACUCAAUACUCGUAUCAGAUAAUGAUACCAGAGGCCAUUGCUAUUGUCAUGGCUCCAACAGAUUCCUCAAGGAGCUAUGGAAUAUUCAGGCUAUCUGACCCAGAUGGGAUGGAUGUUCUGAAGGAGUGUCAGGAGACUGGAUUUCAUACUCACAGCGAACCUGCAAAUGGAAGCCCCAUUUAUGAGCACUGCUCCAAUGUAUAUACAAAUUCUAACCUGAGGUUUGAAAUCUUUGACUUGCGCUGAUGUAUCCCGUUCUUUCAUCAUCAACUGCUUGUGUACAUGGACAAAUAGGAACAUGGCCUUCAUCACCAUGUGUAACAAGUUUUGGCUGAGGCAUCACAUAUCAUAAUGACAAUGCAUAGGGACAAAACUUGUUACACAUGGUGAUGAAGGC
rnacentral:misc_RNA from 1 species